GUGGGAAGGGUAAAGAGCUUGUGAAGGUAUGGAGUGGAAGGAGAUACAGGAAGAACAGGACCUAGAGCAAGGAGAAAACAAGAGCAUGGAUAGGAGAAUCUUCAUUGCAGGAAGCCAGAGCCAUCUGUGUGGACCAUGUGAUGUGCAGCCAUGUUACAUCUGGUGCAGCAGCCUAAUCCUGCAUUUCUGCAGCCUGCAGUGCCUCACAAAAGUCUCAGUCCUGGAAGAAGCCUUGUCUACUGAAAAUGCACAAGUGUUUCCUGAACUACUUUCUCAAAUCACAGGAUAACACUGCCAGUUCUGAACCGUAUGGGAAGAAACCAGGGGGUUUUGGCUUAUUUGCAGAGCUCCCAGGGCAGCAAAUCUUGGUCCCUGCCUGAGCACUCCUUCAGCACAAAUAGUACAUGGUAAUUACCAGUCAUUAGGACUGGGAGUGAAUGGAGUAAUUUUAAAUUUAGGAUAACUCUGACCUCAGUUUCUGUCAGCUCAUUUUCUCCCUUCCUCUACUCUCAACUGAUCUAAACCUUCCCUAGAGUUUUUAGGAAAUGCUGGUGUGCCAGCUGCUAA